rnacentral:lncRNA from 1 species
UUUUUUGAAAAAUGAGGAUCCCUUCCCUUAACGGCUUCCUAUAUAUAUAUAUAUAUUUUUUUUUUCUGACUUUUCUAAGGUUUGAAAAAACCCUAAAUUGCUUCUAAUUUAUUUAUAUGCUUUGACUCACAAAUUUCACAUAGCAAUAUAAUUGCGUAAUGCAUGAAACAUAUAUAUAUAUAUAUAUAUAUAUAUAUAUAUAUAUAUCGGAAGGAAAAUAUAAACAUAGGGUUUAUGCAUCAUGAUGAAUGUUUUCAUCUUUGUGGACGUUUCAAAUAUCUUCAUUUAUUUUAAGCGUACCUGAUUAGUAGAAAACAAAUAAAAACCUUUGAAUUUUGUAGAAGAGAGCCUCCUCCUACAAUCCUUCAAUUCCUUAGCUUCAGACAAGAGCGUGCUAAUAACGUGUUGUAGACCUAUUUAACUGAACUAUUCUAAGGGAAUAGAGAGGGGGAGGCCGGCGGCAAUAAGAGAGAAAAGAGAGAUAUUUAAUUGUGAGGUAUGUGUUGUAUCACCCAAUUAUGCCUUUAUUUAUAGUAGCAUGAAAGGUUAAUUCCUUAUCUUUUUAGGAUUACAACUUUAAUAAGAUAUUAACUACUAACGAGAAUAUUCAAAGAUAUCCCUAUGUUACUUCGAAAUUCUCCAACACUAUGUAAGCUUUUAAAGCUACGUAGUGUGGAGGGCAGGAAGAUUGCAAAGGGAGAAUGAGGAUCUUCUUUGUGAGGAUCAUGAGGAUUCUCAAAUCAUGUAUAUUCAUCGUACAUCAUGAGGUCAGAAAUUAUUUUAAAUAUUUUUAUUUAAAAUUAAACAUGAACAGUAUAUGACGAAAACUGAUCGCAAGAUAUACGAUAAACCAACAUAAUUUGAGGAUUCUCAAAAUCCUUACAAAGAGAAGACGAUCCUCGUUGGCAAAAGGAAAAACCGGUUGACUGUUAUUUGCAAGUACAAAUGAUGCUCACUCAGUUUGAUUUCUCUCUUUCGUCAGAAAUUGGAGAUACGACUUUUAAAAACCAAUAUUUUCAUAGUUUCUUUGUUUCUUUUUUUGUCAAAUAGAAGAAUGAUGGGACUCAGACUUUACCUAUAACUUCGUACAAUUUUUCUUAAACCUAUUAAUUUAACUACAAAAAAUUCCAAUCAAAAUCAUGAAGUUUUAUGAAUUGGACACGACAAGUUUAGAGUAAGAACUCUUAUUUAUUUUUGAGUAGCCAAAUGUUUGAACUCGUUAAGACCAUUUCUUAUUGAAUUAAUCAAUAACCAACUUAAUUUGUUUGGCUGCCUAAACAUUAAUUAAUUAACCUUUAAUUAACUUCAGCCAUUGCAGAUAUUGAUGUAUACAACUGUAUACAUAUGUAUCCACAUCAUGCAAGUAGGUGGAAGCGUUUACAAACUUUAUGAGUACGUGAUCAUUUUAUAUGCAAGACAACAAGAGUAAGAUGGUGAUGUUUUUCAAGGCAAGGUGCACCAAGUUGCCCUUGAACAUGACCACCUCGUUGUUCACAAAAUUGGUACUUAAUUAAUUGGUAUUAUUAAUCACCGGCUAAGAAAUAUUCUCCUAAGUCCUUUUUAUAAACAUAUGACCUUUACGUGGAGAAAUUUUAGUUGUGACGGGAACAUGGAUGGUAACCACGUGUUUUUAUGCAAGUGGUGGAAAAUUUUAAUUUUUAAAUUAUUAACCUUUUAGCACACCUAACCCAUCAUUUAUAUAAAGACAUAUGAUGUACCACCUUAUGUGACGAUGAUGCGAGAAUUAACUAGCACACAAAUUAAACCCUCUUUUUGUCAAUUGUAGUAUAAGUAUAAGUAGGGUAUCGUUCUAGGCCGGGGAUUAGGAGGGCUUGCUAAAACCUCUUAAAAACAUAAAAACAAAGUUAAAAAUAUUAAACAAGACUCAAGGACACAAAACUAGGCUAAAAACUCUAAUAAUUCGAAACACACUUAAAAUGACUCAAAAUAAUAAAAACAAUCAAAAUAGACACUAGGAAUUGAAAUGGACGGAAAUUAAAUUAAAAGACUAACAAUAAAGAAAACUAACUAAAUAAUAUAAUU